UUUGAAUGUCGGCAACGUUUC
rnacentral:piRNA from 1 species